UCCCGGAGUAGCAUAAAGGUGACUUCUCACGACCAAGACCUCCCAUAUGCCACUUAGCAUCCCGUUCGGUUCGGCAAAAAGUUUUACAUCCGUGUACACGCUCUGCAUCUUUCUUUAUCGCGGUGAUAAAAUGCCUUGUCUCUUUUAAUCGCGAUGAGGACACAGUAGAUGCGCGACUGAGACGAGUACCGGUAAUACUCUUAAUAAUUGUGUUGUGGUCACUUUUUAAAAUCAAAUUAGUUGUCACGAUAAUAAACAACGUCAAUUUGACAGAGUGAUCGAGCGCAUAGUUACUUUUUUCACGGGUGAAUCUUUGCUUCGACAGCGAUGGUGAGAGGCGUUCUGUUCUGUUUACUAGUGUUGUUGUACACACUGACGUUUCUGAGCGACAGUAACGCAUAUCCGAGGUCGGACUUCCUAGAAAACGGAGAUGGUUUUGAGCAAGAAAUCGAAGAUCCAUUACAACCUUUUGACUGGCUAGAUGAAGAGAAUGACAAUUUCAAAUCCCAACGAGAAGAGGUUCUGCAAAAGAUGCAAGAGAUUUUCGGUAUUCAUAGCCAGAGCGACAAUUUGGCACAUCGCAAAGUGCCACCGCAAUUCAUGAUGGAGCUUUACAACACCAUCGCCGAUCCCAAUGGGGUUACGCGAGGCCGAAAUCUUUAUAACGCCAAGGUUGUUCGCAGUUUCGUUGAGAAGGAUCAUUUUUUCAAUAUCACAUCGUCGCUAUUUUAUUACUUCAAUGUCUCGAGAUUGGAAAUAAACGAGUCAGUGCUAGAAGCUGAGUUACAUCUCUAUCGAAAAAAAACACCUUCGAAGAACUUGGCGUCGCCUUAUUAUCUGAUUAGAGUUUAUCAGGUUCUGAACGAUCGCAGCUUCGAUAUGCCAGAUCUUCACAGACUGCUGAAUGUUUGUUACGUCAGCGCGCACGUUUCUGGCUGGCAGGUGUUCAACGUAAAGCAAGCCGUUCUUGGGUGGGUAAGCGGCGAACCGAAUCUAGGACUUCUGGUAACGGUUCAAGAUCUGUUUGAGGACGAAGUAUCAGUAGAGUUUUCACGUCGGAAUGAGUACUAUCUCGGCAAACAGCCAAUAUUAGUGCUCUUCAACGACGAUCGCAAUCUUGCCGUGGAUUACAUCGCGCCUCAUUAUUAUGUUUAUGAGAACCGAAACGAUGAAGAAAACGCGGAAAAAAACGCGAAGAGCGAAAAGAUUGAUUUGAAGAAUAAGUAUGAUAACGUCGAGUAUCAUAGAAAAUACAAGAAGCAUCAUAAAGAUGGUCAGCUAGAAAGAAUCAAACUGGUCAACAGACGCAAACCGGAAUUCUUCGAACGACAGAAAAAAAUACUUACAGAAGAAAACGACGAUCUUCAAGAAUUGCAUGAAACUUCGAUAUUUGGCACAGUGACAAAACGACGUCGUGGUCACCGCGACGUCACAUCGUCUAGAAAGCGCUUUGCCAAGAUCGUGUCACAUGAUGACGCGAAGAUUACACAAGUGUUGACGUCGAUGGACAUCUACGAGAGAGCGGCAUUUCGCGAGAGGCUAGGCCUGAUAGUACGAGAUCGCUCGUUAAAACGAUCGAUUGCUCAAAAGCAACGAUAUCGAUUGCCUCGAUCAGUGGGCAGUCAUAACAUAAUAGGGGCGAGACAAGCUGAGAUGAAUAAGACAAACGAUUGCACGAGACACGAGCUCUACGUAAAUUUUCGCAACAUCGGGUUGUCGUCAUCGAUAAUUGCACCGCCCGGUUAUUCAGCUUAUCAAUGCAAAGGUGUGUGCGAGCCACCUCUUAGUCAGGAUCAACGGCCAACGAAUCACGCCACAAUCCAAGCGAUUGUGCACAAGCUAGGUCUUGUUGAAGGCGUUCAGAGACCCUGCUGUGUGCCGACUAAGCUACUGAGAACCAGCAUUCUCUUUUACGACAACAACGAGAACGUCGUGCUCAAGAUGUACGACGACAUGAUCGUUGACAGUUGCGGAUGUCGUUAAACAACCUCUUGCGUGUCAGAGUAAAGAGAACUUCCGUUUGCGACACUAAGAGGUUUUGAGGAAAAUUGUAUUCAUUAUGAUUAUAUAUGCUGCGACAAGAAAAAGAUGUCAGAGAGAAAGAAAGAUAGAUAGAUAGAUAGAUAGGUAAGUAGAUAGAUAGAUAGAUGCUUUAUUUAUCAAGUGUUCCGGGAAAAAUUCCUCUUAAGCGCAAUAUUACAAUUCUUUAAGGAUACAAGAUUAAAGUGAAUCUUCUUAAGGAUAAAAGUAAGUGAGUAUCAGAAAAUAUACAAAAAAGAAUAAAAUAAAAUAAAAUCUGAAUAAAAUAAAAUAAAAAUAUAAAAUAUAAGGAAAAUCAAAAUUAAUCAAUCGAAAAAAUUAAUAUAAAGCAACGAAACAAUGAUAGCAGUAUACAAAAAUAGAAAUAUACACGCAAAUAGAAAAAGUAAUACAAAAUGAUGCAAAAUAAGUGUAACAGGAAACAGAUUAAUAAAAGAAAGCAGUAACAAAAAUUAAUCAAAUUAUACAUUAUCCGCAUAAAGCAAUUCGUAUAAUUUCUUUUUAAAUUCAAAGAAUAGUCUAUUACGGACAUCCACUGGAAUACUAUUCCAUAGAUCCACUGAGACACAUCUGAAAGACCGUCUGAAUAGUUCAGUGCGACAUAAAGAAAGAAAGAAUAAGGUCAUCAUCCUCAGCACGAGUGCCACGCUGCACAACUGAAUGUCUAAAUUCAUAUGUAUUAAAUAAAAUCUUAGGUCGCUGUGAUUUCAAAAAUUUAAAGAGCAAGCAGCUGAUGAGGAACAUCCUCCGAGAUUUUACUUUGAGCCAUUUUAAUUUUUCAUAAGACGGUGUAACGUGCUCAAACCAUUUAAUUUGAAAAAUAAACCUAAUACAUCUAUUGAAUGCUCUUUGCAGUCGUAGGUUAUCCUUUUCAGUUAUAUCCGUCAUAAGUGUACAACAAUAGUCCAGAAACGGAGAGAUAAGUGGCGUGACCAAUCUCGCACAAAGUUCAGACAAGAAAAGAUAUUUGUAAAUCUUCAGCUGAUGCAACAAAGCAUUUAUAUUCGAGAUAACAAUAGAAAGGUGAACAUCCCAUGAUAGAGUGUCAGUCAAAAUGACAUCUAGAUAUGAGACAAAUCUCUUGAAGGGGAUAUUAGCAUUGUUAACAAUAAUUUGAGGCAUGGAAGUCCAUUCUGAGAUGUCCAGCCUACAACACUUCGGAUGUCAGCAUUAACUUUAGAUAUGGCCAAGGUUCGGUAGUGUCUAGUUAAAAAGAUAAAAGUUAAGUUAAAAAGUUAAAAAGUUAAAUAAUUUUAA